rnacentral:lncRNA from 1 species
GCAAACAGCAAUAAGGAGACUAGAGAAUCCCAAAAGCACUCUGCCACAAAGUGACUAAAGCCCCAUUGAGCACAAUGCCAACAGGCAAGCUGAGGGAACUAUUAACUCUACUUUGCCAAAAUGUGAGAUUUUGUUGGUAUUCUUGAAUAGUUGAAUAUGUUUGUCUGAACUAAUCCCUCCCUGUUCAUCCUCUUUCUUUCUGUGCUUCAUCUUCGAUUUCUUUCUAUCCCACAGCGAUUAAUCUGUUCAUCUUUUGUCACUUGACAGAGUGAGUAAUGAAUUUGGUUUCACUGUAAUCUAUGAGAUUGUUAUGAAUUAUUUAAGCUCUUCGUUGCUUUGAUACCAAUUUUGGUGCUGCUUUUUAUUUAUCCUUUAGUAGAAAUUAUCUGUACUGCCUUCAAAGUUGGAUUAUAUGGAUCUCAUUGGUGUAUUUUUGGGGGGUUCCCAGGGUUAUCAUUAUUGAAGUAUUUGCUUAAAUGUCUUCUUCGUACUUGGUUGGUAAAUGUUGCGCAACUCAUGCAUCUGUAAUUGAGGGUUUUGUUUUUUAAAUUUCUCAAUUUUAGGUCCAAGUUGUCUGUGGUGUGCGCUUUAUUUUGUUCAAUUUUGGUGAUUUUUUCUCUGUUCUUUCUUUCAUUCAAUGUCAUUUGUUAUUGCUACUGUAGUUUUGGUAUUGAUGGGUAUCGGCUACAGGCUAUGUUCUUUUGAGUGUGCUGUUGGAUUUUUACAUACACGUUAGUAACUUUAUCCAAUUUGCACGAUGUUGUACGGAAGAUGUUUGAUAAUAUGCUUGUAUGAACUUCCUUUGCGCUGCAUGGAAGAAGCUAUUUAUAAUAUUUUCCUAUUUCUAAUAGUCAUGUGAAUGGUGAUUUCGUGAAGCAUCUCCAAGUUAUAUUUUCAGAUCAGCUGUGCGUAAGUAUUUUUUUGUGAUACCAAGAACAUAAUUUUUUUCGUUUGUCUUCACGCUUAUUUUCAGAAGUUAUUUUCUUCUCAAAUCUAUGUGGGUAUCUCCCAAGAUCAGUACUUUAUGAGGUUUUAAGUUGUUUUAUUGAAGUAAAUUCCAAAAGGAACUCUUAACUUGAGGUGUUUCCUUUAUUUUGCUCUAAUGUAUUUUUCUUCUGAAUGUUAUUAUCAUUUCUAUGAUUUUUUUUGUUGGUGGUACUGAUAGACUGUCACUUUUUAUCUUCUCGAGCCAAGGGUCUAUUGGAAACAGUCUCUCUAUUCUCUCGGGUUAGAGGUAAGGUCACCAUACACACUAGCCUUGUUGUUGUAUUUUUCUUCCGAAUAGCAGAAGGAAUAAAGAAACUUAUGUUUUGUCUUUGUAAAAAAGAACGAGCUCUGCAUGAUUUACUAGGGUCAAAAAUCUGUCUUUUGUAUUUAUUUAGUAAAUUUUGUAUAUAUAUAUAUAUAUUGGGUUACAAUGAACCCGUAACAAUACAUAUAAAAACGACUUGCUCCUGAUUGAUAAACUAACAAAAAAAGAAACUAAAAUGCACGUCAUCCGGCACUUAAAAGGCACAAUUAAGGAUGUUACCAUGAAAAUAAGAGUAUCAUGUGGAGAUAGCAUGUUCUAGAAGGCGAAUAUUUAGCUAAAGAUAGUCAUAGAAGCCUCUUUUUGUCAGUAUCAUCUUUCACAUAUUCUAUAUAUGGCCUUCUAUCCUAGGUAGAAGAGGAAUAUGCUUUAAGUGUUUGUUCCAUAUUUUGCAGCUUCAAAUUUAUUCACCUUAAAUUGUUGCAAAAAUUAGUGAUUUGUGCUGAUUGUUGGUGGAAGACAGACCUAAAAGAGAGCUCCCUAACGGACAACAUUUGUUGCUGAAGGUUUAUUUCAGAUUUGCUCUAUAUUAUGGGAAUUGGGUGUUCAACAUAGAGUCGUGUUCAGCAUAGAGUCGUGUAAGUACUGCUCUUAGUCAUGUUGUCAUUUAUUGUUGAAUUUAUUAUGGGAAUUGUGAGUUCAAGUCAUGUUGUCAACCCUCACUUCUAACCGAGAAGUUGUGAGUUCAAAUCUCCCCAAGAGUAAGGUGGGAAGUUCUUGGAGGGAAGGAUGCCGGGGGUCUAUAUGGAAACAACCUCUCUACCCAAGGGUAAGGGUAAGGUCUGCGUACACACUACCCUCCCCCGACCCCACUAAGUGGGCUUAUACUGNNNNNNNNNNNNNNNNNNNNNNNNNNNNNNNNNNNNNNNNNNNNNNNNNNAACCUCUCUACCCAAGGGUAGGGGUAAGGUCUGCGUACACACUACCCUCCCCAGACCCCACUAAGUGGGAUUAUAUUGGGUUGUUGUUGUUGUUAUUAUUGUGCCCUUCUGUGGAAUUUCUUAUGCAUAACUAUUUGAGCUUCUGCUUCACAAACUAUGAAAUUAUUUAAGCUUCUUAACAUUAUUGAAAUAGUUGUGCAACUGUGAAAUAAUGUCUCUUAACUCUAGGUAAGACCAAGCAAAAUUUCUUAUCUGGGGAGAAAGACUUUACAGGU